GACGAACGCUGGCGGCGUGCUUAACACAUGCAAGUCGAACGGAAAGGCCCUGCUUUUGUGGGGUGCUCGAGUGGCGAACGGGUGAGUAACACGUGAGUAACCUGCCCUUGACUUUGGGAUAACUUCAGGAAACUGGGGCUAAUACCGGAUAGGAGCUCCUGCUGCAUGGUGGGGGUUGGAAAGUUUCGGCGGUUGGGGAUGGACUCGCGGCUUAUCAGCUUGUUGGUGGGGUAGUGGCCUACCAAGUCUUUGACGGGUAGCCGGCCUGAGAGGGUGACCGGCCACAUUGGGACUGAGAUACGGCCCAGACUCCUACGGGAGGCAGCAGUGGGGAAUAUUGCACAAUGGGCGGAAGCCUGAUGCAGCAACGCCGCGUGCGGGAUGACGGCCUUCGGGUUGUAAACCGCUUUCGCCUGUGACGAAGCGUGAGUGACGGUAAUGGGUAAAGAAGCACCGGCUAACUACGUG
rnacentral:rRNA from 1 species